rnacentral:misc_RNA from 1 species
GAAGUGCGAAACGUGUCAUGACUUGCAGAUUCCCGAGAGCUGACGAAUCUCUGAAUGCAAAUGGCGGCCGCUCGACACGGCCAUGGAUUGCAGAGUGUAGUGGUUCCGACUCAUCAUCCAAUCGCAAAACUCCUUGCGAUUGCAUCUGCGCUUGCACAACGUCUCGCGAGCGUGAAAUGGCGAGUUAAGGGGCCGUCGCACCGGCGGCCUCUUGACUACGGACAUCAACGCCUUGCGUUGUCAUUGACUUGACCACGUGAGGCGACUCGAUAACGACUCCACAAUAUAUACUCAACCCCACCUCUGCAAUGCAGGAUUACCCGCUGAACUUAA